CUCGGCUCCGCCCCCGCGGGCAGCGCGGGCUUCCCAUUGGCCGCCGUUUCCAUGGUUACGCGGGGGCCGGUGGCGCUGCAGACUUCCCGACACGUGUCCCCCGGAGCCGCCCGGAAUUUGACAGGGGACCAUGUGCGCGGCAGCGCGGGAGCCAGACAAAGGGCCGGGGGAGGCGGGGAACGAAGCCGGCGGAGAGGCCGGGUGGCCGGGCAGGGAUGAGCCGCCUGCUUCUCCCGCGAGCUGGAGCAGUCCCCCACCUCCUGCCUUUUUUUUUGUAUUUUGAAGGAAAGAAAAAAUAAACAAGAAUUGCUGUGGAAAGCGAGGAGGGAGACGUUUCCAGCCAGUCCCACCUGCUCUCCCUCCUCCAGGGAAAACUGGGAAGCGAAAGCUUAACAGUGCGGUUGUUUUGAUGCUGCAGAAAUGCGACCCAAGGAAUUGUGGGGGAUCUUGCUACCCCCGUUCAUCCUACAACAGCGACCUCACUCCAGUAGCGACCAUGUGUCAAGGCUGCCCGUGUGGCUUGGCUGGAGGCUCCCUUUCAUCUGCAAAGCCAGGAGAGGCCCACUGAGCCUUUCCUCAUCCUGGACACCAACUCUUCUUCCCUCUUCCAUUAUUUAAGAAUGCUUAUGAUUACCAUCGCCACCCGGAUAAUCCAGAAUAAUCUCUCCAUCCCCAAAUUAGCUGGUUAGCCAUCUUUUUUUUUUUUAAUUUUUUUUAACGUUUAUUUAUUUUUGAGACAGAGAGAGACAGAGCAUGAACAAGGGAGGGGCAGAGAAAGAG